UUCUUGAAUUUUAAUAUGAGAUAUGACCUGCCCACUGAUAGAUUUGAAGGGCCGCGGUAUUUUGACCGUGCAAAGGUAGCAUAAUCAUUAGUCUUUUAAUUGUGGACUGGAAUGAAUGGUUGGACGAGGAAUAUACUGUUUCUUAUUAUUUUAUUGAAUUUAAUUUUUAAGUUAAAAAGCUUAAAUUUAUUUAUAGGACGAGAAGACCCUAUAGAGUUUAUAUACAUUAUUCUAUUUAUUUUGUUUGUUUAUUUUAUUUAGUAUUUAAUAUAUUUUAUUGGGGUGAUUGGAAGAAUUAAUUAACUCUUUUUGUUUAAAUAUACAUUGAUUUAUGAAUACUUGAUCCAAUUUUGUUGAUUAUAAGAUUAAAUUACCUUAGGGAUAACAGCGUAAUCUUUUUUGAGAGUUCUUAUUGAUAAAUGGGUUUGCGACCUCGAUGUUGGAUUAAGGUUUAAUUUGGGUGUAGAAUUUCAAUUUGUUUAGGUCUGUUCGACCUUUAAAAU
rnacentral:rRNA from 1 species